AGCUAGUUGGUAGGGUAAGAGCCUACCAAGGCGACGAUGGAUAGCCGGCCUGAGAGGGUGAUCGGCCACACUGGGACUGAGACACGGCCCAGACUCCUACGGGAGGCAGCAGCUAAGAAUCUUCCGCAAUGGGCGAAAGCCUGACGGAGCGACGCCGCGUGGACGAAGAAGGCCGAAAGGUUGUAAAGUCCUUUUCUUAGGGAAGAAUAAUGUAAAGAAUGGAAUGCUUUACAGAUGACAUUAACUGAGGAAUAAGCCCCGGCCAAUUACGUGCCAGCAGCCGCGGUAAUACGUAUGGGGCGAGCGUUGUUCGGAAUUAUUGGGCGUAAAGGGCGUGUGGGCGGUUUUAUAAGCCUGGUGUGAAAUCCCACAGCUCAACUGUGGAGACGCGCUGGGAACUGUAAGACUAGAGUUCAGGAGGGGAUGCUGGAAUUCCUGGUGUAGGGGUGAAAUCUGUAGAUAUCAGGAAGAACACCGAUGGCGAAGGCAAGCAUCUGGCCAUGGACUGACGCUGAGGCGCGAAAGCGUGGGGAGCGAACAGGAUUAGAUACCCUGGUAGUCCACGCUGUAAACGAUGUGCACUGGGUGUAGGAGGCGUUGAGCUUUCUGUGCCGUAGCUAACGCGUUAAGUGCACCGCCUGGGGAGUAUGCUCGCAAGGGUGAAACUCAAAGGAAUUGACGGGGGCCCGCACAAGCGGUGGAGCAUGUGGUUUAAUUCGAUAUACGCGAGGAACCUUACCAGGGCUUGACAUGUACUUGAAGGCUUAAGAGAUUAAGUCGACCUUUAGGGGACGGGUACACAGGUGCUGCAUGGUUGUCGACAGCUCGUGUCGUGAGAUGUUGGGUUAAGUCCCGCAACGAGCGCAACCCUUACUGUCUGUUGCCAGCAGGCCUUCGGGCGCUGGGGACUCAGGCAGAACUGCCGGUGACAAACCGGAGGAAGGUGGGGAUGACGUCAAAUCAUCAUGGCCCUUAUGUCCUGGGCUACACACGUGCUACAAUGGCCGGUACAAAGCGUUGCAAGACGGUGACGUCCUUAGCAAAUCGCAAAAAGCCGGUCUCAGUUCGGAUUGGAGUCUGAAACCCGACUCCAUGAAGUUGGAAUCGCUAGUAAUCGCGCAUCAGAAUGGCGCGGUGAAUAUGUUCCCGGGCCUUGUACACACCGCCCGUCACACCACCCGAGUUGGGGGUACCCGAAGUCGCUAGUCUAACUUUUAGAGGACGGUGCCGAAGGUAUGCCUGGUAAGGGGGGUGAAGUCGGAACAAGGUAGCCGUACCGGAAGGUGCGGCUG
rnacentral:rRNA from 1 species